GUCGGGUUAGCUCAGUUGGUUAGAGCAUGGUGCUAAUAACACCAAGUUCACAGGUUCAAUCCCUGCUUACUGCA
rnacentral:tRNA from 1 species